rnacentral:rRNA from 1 species
AUAAUGGGUCAGCGACUUAUAUUCUGUAGCAAGGUUAACCGAAUAGGGGAGCCGAAGGGAAACCGAGUCUUAACUGGGCGUUAAGUUGCAGGGUAUAGACCCGAAACCCGGUGAUCUAGCCAUGGGCAGGUUGAAGGUUGGGUAACACUAACUGGAGGACCGAACCGACUAAUGUUGAAAAAUUAGCGGAUGACUUGUGGCUGGGGGUGAAAGGCCAAUCAAACCGGGAGAUAGCUGGUUCUCCCCGAAAGCUAUUUAGGUAGCGCCUCGUGAAUUCAUCUCCGGGGGUAGAGCACUGUUUCGGCAAGGGGGUCAUCCCGACUUACCAACCCGAUGCAAACUGCGAAUACCGGAGAAUGUUAUCACGGGAGACACACGGCGGGUGCUAACGUCCGUCGUGAAGAGGGAAACAACCCAGACCGCCAGCUAAGGUCCCAAAGUCAUGGUUAAGUGGGAAACGAUGUGGGAAGGCCCAGACAGCCAGGAUGUUGGCUUAGAAGCAGCCAUCAUUUAAAGAAAGCGUAAUAGCUCACUGGUCGAGUCGGCCUGCGCGGAAGAUGUAACGGGGCUAAACCAUGCACCGAAGCUGCGGCAGCGACGCUUAUGCGUUGUUGGGUAGGGGAGCGUUCUGUAAGCCUGCGAAGGUGUGCUGUGAGGCAUGCUGGAGGUAUCAGAAGUGCGAAUGCUGACAUAAGUAACGAUAAAGCGGGUGAAAAGCCCGCUCGCCGGAAGACCAAGGGUUCCUGUCCAACGUUAAUCGGGGCAGGGUGAGUCGACCCCUAAGGCGAGGCCGAAAGGCGUAGUCGAUGGGAAACAGGUUAAUAUUCCUGUACUUGGUGUUACUGCGAAGGGGGGACGGAGAAGGCUAUGUUGGCCGGGCGACGGUUGUCCCGGUUUAAGCGUGUAGGCUGGUUUUCCAGGCAAAUCCGGAAAAUCAAGGCUGAGGCGUGAUGACGAGGCACUACGGUGCUGAAGCAACAAAUGCCCUGCUUCCAGGAAAAGCCUCUAAGCAUCAGGUAACAUCAAAUCGUACCCCAAACCGACACAGGUGGUCAGGUAGAGAAUACCAAGGCGCUUGAGAGAACUCGGGUGAAGGAACUAGGCAAAAUGGUGCCGUAACUUCGGGAGAAGGCACGCUGAUAUGUAGGUGAAGCGACUUGCUCGUGGAGCUGAAAUCAGUCGAAGAUACCAGCUGGCUGCAACUGUUUAUUAAAAACACAGCACUGUGCAAACACGAAAGUGGACGUAUACGGUGUGACGCCUGCCCGGUGC